rnacentral:rRNA from 1 species
UACGAGUGGUGCAAGCAUUAUUCGGAAUCAUUGGGCGUAAAGGGUGCGUAGGUGGCAUAUUAAGUCUACUGUUAAAUAUCUCGGCCUAACCGAGAGACUGCGGUGGAGACUGGUAAGCUAGAGGAUGGGAGAGAGAAGUGGAAUUCUCGGAGUAGCGGUAAAAUGCGUAGACCUCGAGAGGAACACCGAUGGCGAAAGCAGCUUCUUGGACCAAUCCUGACACUGAUGCACGAAAGCGUGGGGAGCAAACAGG